rnacentral:rRNA from 1 species
AUUGAACGCUGGCGGCAGGCCUAACACAUGCAAGUCGAGCGGAUGACGGGAGCUUGCUCCUGGAUUCAGCGGCGGACGGGUGAGUAAUGCCUAGGAAUCUGCCUGGUAGUGGGGGACAACGUUUCGAAAGGAACGCUAAUACCGCAUACGUCCUACGGGAGAAAGCAGGGGACCUUCGGGCCUUGCGCUAUCAGAUGAGCCUAGGUCGGAUUAGCUAGUUGGUGAGGUAAUGGCUCACCAAGGCGACGAUCCGUAACUGGUCUGAGAGGAUGAUCAGUCACACUGGAACUGAGACACGGUCCAGACUCCUACGGGAGGCAGCAGUGGGGAAUAUUGGACAAUGGGCGAAAGCCUGAUCCAGCCAUGCCGCGUGUGUGAAGAAGGUCUUCGGAUUGUAAAGCACUUUAAGUUGGGAGGAAGGGUUGUAGAUUAAUACUCUGCAAUUUUGACGUUACCGACAGAAUAAGCACCGGCUAACACUGUGCCAGCAGCCGCAGUAAUAC